ACAAUGAUUUCCCUAGUAACGGCGAGUGAAGAGGAAAGAGCUCAAAGUUGGAAUCCGGCUGCCCUAGGUAGUUGGAAUUGUAAACUGGAGAGGUGUUUUCCAGGCGAGCCAAGCGAAUAAGUCCUUUGGAACAGGGCAUCAUAGAGGGUGAGAAUCCCGUCUUUGGCUUGAGCAUUGCCUUUUGUGAUACACUUUCAAAGAGUCAGGUUGUUUGGGAAUGCAGCCUAAAUUGGGUGGUAAAUCUCACCUAAAGCUAAAUAUUGGCGAGAGACCGAUAGCGAACAAGUACCGUGAGGGAAAGAUGAAAAGAACUUUGAAAAGAGAGUUAAACAGUAUGUGAAAUUGUUGAAAGGGAACCGUUUGGAGCCAGACCGGCUGUUCUAUAAUCAAUCUCUGCUUCGGUAGGGAUGCACUUGUAGGGCUUUAGCCUGCCAACAGCAAUUUUCUUUGAUGGAAAAAACUAGAAGGAAUGUGGCCUCUCGGGGUGUUAUAGCCUUUUAGAAAAUACAUCGAAGGGGAUUGAGGACUGCAGCAAAUGCUUUUGGCGAAAUAACUGGGCGCUUGUGUUAAGGAAGUGUAGAAUUUCUGCUUCGGGUGGUGCUACGCUCUAAGAUGCAACUCGUUUAGACUAUUUUCUAUUUGCUUAGGUUGUUGGCUUAAUGACUCUAAAUGAC
rnacentral:rRNA from 1 species